AUUGAACGCUGGCGGCAGGCCUAACACAUGCAAGUCGAGCGGAGCGGCGGACGGGUGAGUAAUGCCUAGGAAUAUGACUGGUAGUGGGGGAUAAAGUCCGGAUACGGGCGCUAAUACCGCAUACUAUCAGAUGAGCCUAGGUAGUAUUAGCUAGUUGGUGGGUUAAAGGCCUACCAAGGCGACGAUCCGUAACUGGUCUGAGAGGAUGAUCAGUCACACUGGAACUGAGACACGGUCCAGACUCCUACGUGAGGCAGCAGUGUGGAAUAUUGGACAAUGGGCCAAAGCCUGAUCCAGCCAUGCCGCGUGUGGGAAGAAGGUCUUCGGAUUGUAAAGCACUUUAAGUUGGUAGGCGUUACCAACAGAAUAAGCACCGGCUAACUUCGUGCCAGCAGCCGCGGUAAUAC
rnacentral:rRNA from 1 species